UACGUAGCAGCGAGCGUUUGUUCGGAGUUACUGGGCGUAAAGAGUGCGUAGGCGGUCAGCCAAGUUUGGUGUGAAAUCUCCCGGCUCAACUGGGAGGGUGCGCCGAAAACUGGCUGGCUAGAGUAUGGGAGAGGAAAGCGGAAUUCCUGGUGUAGCGGUGAAAUGCGUAGAUAUCAGGAGGAACACCUGUGGUGUAGACAGCUUUCUGGACCAUCACUGACGCUGAGGCACGAAAGCGUGGGUAGCAAACAGG
rnacentral:rRNA from 1 species